rnacentral:rRNA from 1 species
AGGCCUACCAUGGUGGUAACGGGUAACGGGGUGUUAGGGCACGACACCGGAGAGGGAGCCUGAGAAACGGCUACCACAUCCAAGGAUGGCAGCAGGCGCGCAAAUUACCCAAUCCCGACACGGGGAGGUAGUGACAAUAAAUAACAAUACGGGGUUCUUUAGGAUCUCGUAAUUGGAAUGAGUACAAUUUAAAUCUCUUAACGAGGAACAAUUGGAGGGCAAGUCUGGUGCCAGCAGCCGCGGUAAUUCCAGCUCCAAUAGCGUAUAUUAAAGUUGUUGCAGUUAAAAAGCUCGUAGUUGAAUUUCGGGGUUAGUAGGUUGGUCAUGCCUCUGGUAUGUACUGGUCUCACUGAUUCCUCCUUCCUGAUGAACCGUAAUGCCAUUAAUUUGGUGUUGCGGGGAAUUUGGACUGUUACUUUGAAAAAAUUAGAGUGUUUAAAGCAGGCUAACGCUUGAAUACAUUAGCAUGGAAUAAUGAAAUAGGACGUUCGAUCUUAUUUUGUUGGUUUCUAAGAUUGACGUAAUGAUUAAUAGGGAUAGUUGGGGGCAUUAGUAUUCAAUUGUCAGAGGUGAAAUUCUUGGAUUUAUUGAAGACUAACUACUGCGAAAGCAUUUGCCAAGGAUGUUUUCAUUAAUCAAGAACGAAAGUUAGGGGAUCGAAGACGAUCAGAUACCGUCGUAGUCUUAACCAUAAACUAUGCCGACUAGGGAUCGGAUGAUGUUAAUUUUUUAAUGA